CCAUUUGCUUACAUUUUAUUUCAUACAUUCAUCUUCAUCAUACAUUCUUCAUUAAAUUUUUUAAAACAUUACAUGGCGCCCGAUUACUGAGGUCUAAAGGUUCAGGGUACGCUCCCGGUCUUCGGUCUUUUGCUCGAGGAUCGGCUGGUCAUUCGUUGUAAUUUUUUUUGUAACGUGUAAAAAGAACAAAUUGUGUGGUGGUGGUGUUUCUUCAUUUACCCCCUAGUAAAUAAGAUUUAUCGUGUUCAUAUUGAUGUGUGCUUUAAACGAAACAAGUUAAUUUACAUAUACCUACAAACUAUUUUGUAUAACUGUGUUUUUAAAUCUACAUUUGCAUUAUAUAUUAUUUCUUUUGCUUUGCAUACUUUUAAAGUUUGGACUUUGAACUCGUAUAGCAUUUUAUAACAUUUCAUUAAAAAAUUAUACUGCGUUGCAGCUUUUUUGCUGUAUAAUUAAACUUCUUAAAUUGUUUCUUAAAAUUUUGAGCUUACUUUUUUGUUUUUAUCACAAAUUUGCUUUUAUAAAACAAAACAUUAUAUACCCUACAAAGGUUUUUUUUGAAUGUAACUUUAAAUUUUUAACAUUCUUGAGUAAAAUUAUUAUUGUUGCUAGUUUACUGCUUAGCUUUGCUAUACAGUUUUUUUUCUUCAAAAUUUUAUGAAACUUGGUGUGAGUUUAGAAUUAUAUUUUUGAUUUAUACCCUCAAGGUUUAUUUACAAUUUGUAAAUUCUUUCAAAUUAUGCAACAAUUUAUAAAAUCAUUUCGGCCAAAUUUCAAUUAAACAUUUAACUUGCUGUCUAGUGAAAUUAUAGUUCUUGGUUGUAUAACCACGGCUAUACAUAAGUACCUACAUGCUUGUUGUUUAUGUUGCAUUCCUUUUGAGCUCAUAGCAAAUAAACUGGUUCUGUUUUUUUUACACGCUCGUUAGUAUUACGUGUACAAUCUUUUAUUGUUGAGCUAUUGUUUGCUUAAUAGUUUUGUAUUCUAUUACCGGAUAAAUUCUAAUAAGUAAAUCUUUUGAAUUGGAUUAAAUACGUUAAAUAAACAACAUUUAUGCAUUGUUAGUUUUAUAAAUAACUAUAUAUAUUUUUUUUUACAUUUGCAUUUUGUUUAUUUGCAUUUAUUUUUACUUUUCAAGUAGGUAUUUAGUUAAUGAAAAUAUUCUUUGAUUAUUUUUUCUUUAAAACUUAGUAAGUACUUAGUUAAAUCUUUGUUAAAGUACAUUGGUCAUUCAUUUUUUUUAAUCAUGGCGUUGGAAGAACGUCCAAUUAAAUUUCAUCUAUUACGUAAAGAUGAAAUAAUUUACGAGUUAUUAUUUCGUGGUGCAGGGCCACCACUUGUACUAUACAUCUUCACAUUUUGAAGGUGUGGGUACACCGGCAGCGUUGGGGAAUCAUUUAGGUUAGUUGUCUUUUAGGUUAGUUGUUGUAGGAGCCGAUUUACUGGUGGACGCGCGGCCGCUGUGGGGCUCGCCGCGCCGCCACUGACAAAUUGUGGCCUAUUAUAUUGUUGACGGUGGACGUGUGGGCAUUCCCUAGGUUCCCCACACUGCCACUGUCGACAUAUCCAGUUAUUUUUAUUAUUUCUUUUUUAAUUUUUUUUUCUCUUUAUAACUUUAUUUCCGAGCAGCUUGCGGGUGGACGCGCGGCCACACCGGCGGCACGCCGCGCCGCCAUCAACAAGUUGGGUCGUUUUUUUAUAUAUUUUUUUUCUUUUUUUUUUGUUUCGCGUUAGGUAGGGAUUAGUACCUAAUCGUGUGGUUUGUUGAUGGUUGGGGUCGAGCACUCACCAAUAGUAAGGUGAGGUCACUUCCCCGCCGUUUUAGGAUGUUGAGGGAGUGGUAGUUGUGACUGAUGGCUGUUGAAGUCAUUAGUGUUUAUUGAUGGUUGGGGUCGAGCACUCGCCAAUUGUAAGGUGAGGUCACUUCUCCACCAUUUUGAGAUGUCGAGAGAGUGGUAGUUGUGACUGAUGGCUGUUGAAGUCAUUAGUGUUUGUUGAUGGUUGGGGUCGAGCACUCGCCAAUUGUAAGGUGAGGUCACUUCCCCACCAUUUUAAGAUGUUGAGGGAGUGGUGGUUGUGACUGAUGGCUUUUGAAGCCGUUAGUGUUCGUUGGUGGACGUAGUUAUUGCUACGGACACGUAUUAUUGUUGUAAUGAGUCAUUGCGACUUGCUUACCGACAUGUUUUUGGCGCUCGUAUGCGCGCUAUUGAUGCGAUUUCUUGGAUGCGAAGUAUUUCUUGGAUGCGAAGUAUUUCUUGGAUGCGAAGUAUUUUUUGGAUGCGAAGUAUUUUUGGAUGCGAAGAAUUUCUUGGAUGCUAUCAGAUGUUGUUGUGCUCAUGGUGAGCACAGGUGGUAUAUGUGCCGUCUCGGCAAGUUUUUACGUUGCGCGGCGUCCGCCGGCAAUGGCAUUUCUGCCUUUAUUUUUUUUCUAUUCUUUUUAAGUUUAUCUUUUUACUGUUUGUACCGAAUGGCAUUUUUUGCCUUUAUUUAUUUUCAUUGAUAUGGUUUUACUUUUUUUAUUUUAAAUUAUUUCUCUUUUAAGUUAAACUUGAA